UGCCCUACGGGGGGCAGCAGUGGGGAAUAUUGCACAAUGGGGGAAACCCUGAUGCAGCGACGCCGCGUGAGUGAGGAAGUAUUUCGGUAUGUAAAGCUCUCUCAGCAGGGAAGAAAAUGACGGUACCUGACUAAGAAGCCCCGGCUAACUACGUGCCAGCAGCCGCGGUAAUACGUAGGGGGCAAGCGUUAUCCGGAUUUACUGGGUGUAAAGGGAGCGCAGGCGGCACGGCAAGUCUGAUGUGAAAACCCGGGGCUCAACCCCGGGACUGCAUUGGAAACUGCCGGGCUGGAGUGUCGGAGGGG
rnacentral:rRNA from 1 species